AGCUCUGUGCAGAGGCAGUACCAUGGCUAAUGAGGUGUAUCGGAGAUGUGGUUAUUGCUAGUUGAAAAAAAACUCCCAUCAUUACUUAUAUGAUCAAGUCUAAUUUUGUUAAGAUUUUUAUCAUAAAUCUGUG